rnacentral:rRNA from 1 species
GACGUAGGGCGCGAGCGUUGUCCGGAUUUAUUGGGCGUAAAGAGCUCGUAGGCGGCUUGUUGCGUCGACUGUGAAAACCUGCGGCUCAACCGUGUGGUCUGCAGUCGAUACGGGCAGGCUGGAGUUCGGUAGGGGAGACUGGAAUUCCGGGUGUAGUGGUGGAAUGCGUAGAGAUCCGGAGGAACACCAGCGGCGAAGGCGGCGUCCUGGACUGGUACUGACGCUCAGGAGCGAAAGCGUGGGGAGCGAUCCGG